GCCAUCUUGAUACUCCCAAAACAACCGUGCCGACCUGUGUUAAUCACAAGUUUUGUGGCUGUGAGAAUACAUUCCACAGCUUGCUGUUGCCCAGGAACUCUCCAAUCAUCUGCCUGCUGAGGCCUUUCCUCUGGAGGAGGAAGUGCGCCACGCCGAUGGCCGUGUCGGGUACGAAGCCGCGCGUGAUCAGGAAGUGGAUUCCUUUUUCCGGGUUCCUGCCGGCACAAGGGAGCAGCGACAACACUUUAAAGCGUGGACUGCAAAAACACGGGGAGAUCUCGUACUCGCUGGGCCCCUCCCGCUUGGCCGCGGUGCCCUCCACGUCCGGUCUGCCCGAGGACGAGCCGUCCUCCAGGCUCAGGAAC